UACGGAGGGGGCUAGCGUUGUCCGGAAUCAUUGGGCGUAAAGCGCGUGUAGGCGGCCAGAAAAGUCCGCUGUGAAAACUCGAGGCUCAACUUCGAGCUGUCGGUGGAAACUUUCUGGCUAGAGUCCGGAAGAGGAGAAUGGAAUUCCUGGUGUAGCGGUGAAAUGCGCAGAUAUCAGGAAGAACACCCGUGGCGAAGGCGGUUCUCUGGGACGGUACUGACGCUGAGACGCGAAAGCGUGGGGAGCGAACAGG
rnacentral:rRNA from 1 species